rnacentral:sRNA from 1 species
GUAGCGAGCCUAGUGGCGGGUGUUUGCAUUGAAACGUGAGCGCGACCCGACCUUAAAGAGUGGGGAGCAAAGGGAGGACAGAGCCCUUUAAAACGAGGCGGGUGGUGCCUGCCCCUUUAAGGGCGGGGCGUCCGGACGACUGUAUCUGAGCCCCAGACUGCCCCGAGUUUCUGUCGCAGGCUGCGAGGAAAGGCUCCUAGGCUGGGUCCGGGUGCUUGGCGGCGGCGGCUUCCUCCCCGCUCGUCCUUCCCGGGCCCAGAGGCACCUCGGCUCCAGUCAUGCUGAGCAGAGUAUGGAAGCACCUGACUACGAAGUGCUAUCCGUGCGAGAACAGCUAUUCCACGAGAGGAUCCGCGAGUGUAUUCUCAUAUUCUGCUACAGAUAUCAACACUUCUGUUUGCAACACUGUACAUCCUCUGCCACAUCUUCCUGACCCGCUUCAAGAAGCCUGCUGAGUUCACCACAGUUUCAUCCUACAAAAUGGGCAUAACAAUGUCUACCUACUCCAUUGUGUGGACCAAA